CUACGGGUUGCUGCAGUGGGGAAUAUUGGGCAAUGGGCGCAAGCCUGACCCAGCAACGCCGCGUGAGGGAAGAAGGUUUUCGGAUUGUAAACCUCUGUCCUUGGGGACGAAGAAGUGACGGUACCCAAGGAGGAAGCUCCGGCUAACUCGUGCCAGCAGCCGCGGUAAUACGUAGGGAGCGAGCGUUGUCCGGAAUUACUGGGCGUAAGGGGUGCGUAGUGGGCGUAUUAAGUCAGGUGUGAAAUACCCGGGCUCAACCCGGGGGGUGCAUUUGAAACUGGUACGCUUGAGUGUGAGAGAGGAAAGUGGAAUUCCUAGUGUAGCGGUGAAAUGCGUAGAUAUUAGGAGGAACACCAGUGGCGAAGGCGACUUUCUGGCUCAUAACUGACGCUGAGGCACGAAAGCGUGGGGAGCAAACAGGAUUAGAUACCCGGGUAGUC
rnacentral:rRNA from 1 species